rnacentral:lncRNA from 1 species
UAGCUGCUUCUUUGGUUCUCCAUCGACGGGUUUCGCUACCGAUUCCUUUGGUAAAGAGAGACCACUUUUUACACAACCAGGUAUCUCAUGAACAUUCAACCUAUCUCGCUCUGUAGGGUGACAUUCAUCUUGAGUGGUUCAAGAUCACAGCUACCCAAAUUAGUGCAAGAUCAAUUAAAGAAAUGUUUAUUCACCAAUCUAAUAAUCACCAUGCUCACGUACUAGACAUAAAAAUCAACAUCCACUACUCAUCUUUGACCAUCUCCUCAAGAUCCCAAUAACCAGACUAAAUCCCACGCAUCUUUGACUAUCUCCUCAAGAUCCCAAUAACCAGACUAAAUCCAGGAAAUAUAUCAUAUUCCACCAAGAAAUUUGAUUCAAAAUCAUAAUCACCAAACUAAAUCCAAAUGGUUCCACUUAAUUAAAGAUUUGUUUAUCCACCAAUAUAACAAUCACUAUGCUCACUAAUUAGACCUAAAAUCUCAUAAUCCACCGAACAUCUUCAAGUAUCUUUUCAAGAACACAAUCACCUAACUAGAUCCACCUAAAAUCUCAUAAUCCAUCGUGAAAUUUGGUUCAAAAUCAUAUUCACAUAACUAACAAAUCAAUGUAAGAUUAUUUAAAUACAUGUUUAUCCACCAAACUAAUAAUCACCACGGUCACCGACUAUACCUAGAAACUCAUAAUGCACCAAAAAAAUUGUUUGUCUCCUCAAGAUCACAAUCACCAAAGUAUAUUCAACCACAAUUGCCUAACUAAGAAAUUUUUGUAAGAUUAAUCAAAUAUAUGUUUAUCCACCAAUCUAAUAAUCACCACGGUCACCUACUAGACCUAAAAUCUCAUAUCCACCGAAAAUCUUUGACUAUCUCCUCAAGAUAACAAUCAUCAAAGUAUAUUCAACCAAAAUCUCAAAAUUCACCAUGAAAUUCGAUUCAAGAUCACAAUCACCUAACUAAAUAGAAAUUGUUCCAAGAUUAAUUAAAAAUGUGUUUAUCCACCAACAUAAUAAUCACAUGCUCACUUACUAAACAUAAAAUCUCAUAAUAUCCUUGACUAUCUCCUCAAUAUCACAAUCACCAAACUAAAACCACAUAAAAAUCUUUCUUAGGUGUUGCUAAUGAUUUUCCUCCGAGGGGGAAUAGACAACAAGAAACUUGUCGAAGAACUCACAAACAUGUUAUUCAUGAUGUUCAUCAAAUAGCUAGGUGGGCAAGGAUUAGGUCAACGGCCACAUCCAUCACAUACAACUCUGUCGUCGCGAUUCGACCAAGUCAUGGAUUGGUGAGACUUAAGGUGCAUAGGGUUUGCGUGUGAGGGUAAAAGUUCACCCUAACGCACUUAAACACCAUUUCUCUGAGACCAACUAUUAAGAGGCCCACAUGGCACAACUCAGACAAGGUUAUCACAUACCAUCAAAAUCGCCAUCUCUUUGAAUUAAUCCAAAUCAUCCUCCUAUGGUAUUUGUACUGAUAACAUUCUUUGGGGGGAACAACAAAAUCACCUAGGUCUAACAACUCCGAUCCACAUGUANNNNNNNNNNNNNNNNNNNNNNNNNNNNNNNNNNNNNNNNNNNNNNNNNNNNNNNNNNNNNNNNNNNNNNNNNNNNNNNNNNNNNNNNNNNNNNNNNNNNGGUUACGCACACAGUUGGCAUAUUUUAAUUAAGUUAACUUCAAGUUAUAUAGAACCGGUGUUAAACAAAGUUUCCACGUUGCCACAUAACCGCGGGCACGGCUUUCCGAAAAUAUUUCACCCUGCAGGGGUGCUCCAACUAGUCCAUCACAAAUUACCACAAGCCGCAUAGAAAUCCUCAAUCACGAAGCUCGCGAUCUCGUCAGAUUCCCUAGUGGAAAACCUCAACUCUGAGAUUACCCAAAGCAUCACCGGAAUCCCGAUGAACAAGAUAUCUCGUCAAAGGUAAAACUAAUCCAGCAAGGCCGCCCGACGUGUCGACGAUCCCGAUAGGAGCCGCGUAUCUCGUUCUCAGGACACGACGGAUGAGCUAGCCGCGUAUCAAGGGGGUCCCCAUAACAACCCUGAUCGUGUUAGGAGCGCUCAAUUAUGGAACAUAACACCGGUAGCCGAAACUAAGGGGGCAAAGGUGGAACAAAACACCAGGCUAGAAAGGCCGAGCCUUCCACCUUUUACCAAGUAUAUAGGUGCAUUAAAUUAAAUAGCAUUUAAUAGGGUGAUAUAACAAGGAACCCGUAUUUUCACAUGGAAGCAACUGCACCUGCAACUAGCAAUGCUAACACAAGGUUAAGCAAGCAGUAACAUAGCCAAUCAGUGGUUUGCUAGGUUGAACAGGUUGAGGGUUUUCAUGGCAUUGUUUGAGAGGCUGAUAUUUAAUAUGUGGAAGGCAACGAGACAUAAACGAAAGAAGCGAUAAACUAGCAUGGCAAUGAUAGUAAUGAUAUCUGGGGAAAUGGUCAUCUUGCCUGAGAUCCCGCUUAGAAGAAGAACAACUCCGAGAAGCACGUGAACCAACGUAGUCGAACGGGUCCUCACAUUCCAACACGCUUGCGGAACUCUAUCAAGAUGGAGCAAACCGGAAACAAGCAUCAACACAGAUAUUCACCACACGAUGCACAAUAUGAUGCACAACCUACUAUGAUGCAUGAACAGAUCAUUGAUGCAAGGCAUGGCAUGGCAAUUCACCUCACACAAACACUACACAUUAAGUGAAGCUCGAUAUGCAACGAGUUGCAUAUCGAUGAAACUCCACGAUUAAUUAUUUAGUUCACUCCCGAUUAUUUACACGACAAUAUUAAAUUGCUGUUAACAUGGCAAGGGGUGAAGCGGUGAUCCUACAUGUCCUCCUAGUCGAUAGCACGCGGGACUUAGAACGGACGCUACGGCACAAGAUACAUGCAACACAAGAUUAUAUGCCAUGAAUGCGACAUGCAUGCAAGAUACAACACCACGGGCAAGAAGAGAAAGAAACAUAUGUUGCCACGGCGAGCGAGAGGGAACCAUGGCAGCAAGACGGAAACGAAGCCACGACAACGUUCCUAUCCCGAUAACUGGUUGAGAUAUCGUGCCAACGUAUAGGAAGCAUGUGCGGGACAACCAAAUAAACAUGGGGUGAUCCCGCUACCGGGUUCCCAUGUGUCGAGGGCGCGACGAAAGAGAGACAACGUGCAACGGGCAAUUAUAGGCGCAAACAUAUGAUACAUCUCAUACAACACAUUUGCAUUCGGUACACGACACGUCUCAUCGGGUUACCUUCGAAGCGUGCAUAUCGGAGGGGGUCGGAUCGUAGCGGACGUCGUGGAAGUCGGACGUAGCGGACAUCUCGUCGACGGUAGUCGUUCGCUCGGCGUCGGUUCACGGGUCUUCGGUGUCGGUUCACGGUCUUCACAUCGGUAGUCGAACACGUUCCGGGGGUCGUUGAGGACGAAGUUGUACACGGCGAUCUUGUCGGUUCCACGACGGAGGGAAUGGCGCACGCGGUCUUCGGCGACAUAACCAGUGACAUCAAGCAGCAACACGACGCAAGCAGCACCAGCAGCAAGCAACGGGGACACAACAUCAACAUGCCACAAUCUAACAACAGCAACUAGCAACAACAAGCAUCUAUUAGUAAGCAAUAGCAAACAACUAAUUAGCAGCAACAAGCAAGCUAGCUAGCAGGGCAUCUAACAGCCACCUAGCAGCAACUACAGCUCUCGGCAACAGGCAACAGCAAGCAACGACAUAGCAACAUCAUGCAGCCUGGCAGCAACUAGCGUCGGCUAGCAUUAGCAGCAAAGCAGCUAGCAAAGCAUCAGGCAGCUAGCACGCAAGCAGUUAUAACCAGAGCAACAUCAAGGCACAGGCAAAGCGACAGGAGAAACUAGCAACCGGCAGCAGGAACAUCAACCGGCCAGCAUCAAACUACACAGGCACGUACAACAACUACCUAGCGGUGGCAGGGGAGAGCACAUGGCAGAGGAGGUCGGGGCGAGGGAGGCAGGCAUAGCUUCGGCAACACAGCAAGCCGGCGACGUGGGGAGGCGGAGCCCCGAGGAGAACGGCGGCAGCGGGGGCGCGCACCGGCGGCCGCGGGGCACGGGCGACAGGGAGAUGGAGGUGCCACGACGGGGCUGGCGGCGAGGUGGCGGAGAACAGUAGCGCGGCGGCCGCGGGACAGAGCAGCCGGCGAUGGCUCGCGAGCAGGGAGGUGGCGCAGCGCAGGGGGAUGCGAGAGGACAGGGGCAUGGCGAGGGCGAGGGGCGAGGGGACUCCGGCGGCGAGGGGGAUCUCCGGCGGCGAGGAAGAGGCACAGGGCAGCUCGGGACCUAGAGGGAGAAGGGGAUCGGCCGAGGGAGAAGGCUGUACGAGGGGAAUGCUCUGCGGGAGGAAGAGGAAUCGGGGGGGGGAAGAAACGAGAGGGAGAUGGGNNNNNNNNNNNNNNNNNNNNNNNNNNNNNNNNNNNNNNNNNNNNNNNNNNNNNNNNNNNNNNNNNNNNNNNNNNNNNNNNNNNNNNNNNNNNNNNNNNNNACAACUUCAACGCCCACUCAUUCUAGUUUCACCGUCUAGUACUUCUUCGUCAACCUCUUCAAAUGAGCCCCUAACCACAAAGAAGAUUACACGAGUUUAGUGUCCAAUGGCUGCUUCUUUUGGUUCUCCAUCGAUGGGUUUUGCUACCGAUUCCUUUGGUAACAAAAGACCACUUUUUACACAACCAGGUAUCUCAUGAACAUUCAACCUAUCUCGCUCUGUAGGGUGACAUUCAUCUUGAGUGGUUCAAGAUCACAGCUACCCAAAUUAGUGCAAGAUCAAUUAAAGAAAUGUUUAUUCACCAAUCUAAUAAUCACCAUGCUCAUGUACUAGACAUAAAAAUCAACAUCCACUACUCAUCUUUGACUAUCUCCUCAAGAGCCCAAUAACCAGACUAAAUCCACGUAAAAUAUCAUAACUCAGCUUUGACUAUCUCCUCAAGAUCCCAAUAACCAGACUAAAUCCACAUAAAAUAUCAUAAUCCACCGAGAAAUUUGAUUCAAAAUCAUAAUCACCAAACUAAAUCCAAAUUGUUCCACUUAAUUAAAGAUUUGUUUAUCCACCAAUGUAAUAAUCAUGAUGCUCACCUAUUAGACCUAAAAUCUUAUAAUCCACCGAACAUCAUUGACAAUCUUCUCAACAUCACAAUCACCUAGCUAAAUCCAUCUAAAAUCUCAUAAUCCACUAUGAAAUUUUGUUAAAAGAUCACAAUCACCUAGCUAAAUCCAAAUUGUUUAAAAUUGAUCGAAGAUUUGUUUAUCCACCAAUAUAAUAAUCACUAUGCUCACUAAUUAGACCUAAAAUCUCAUAAUCCACCGAACAUCUUCAAGUAUCUUUUCAAGAAGACAAUCACCUAACUAGAUCCACCUAAAAUCUCACAAUCCAUCGUGAAAUUUGGUUCAAAAUCAUAUUCACAUAACUAACAAAUCAAUGUAAGAUUAAUUAAAUAUAUGUUUAUCCACCAAACUAAUAAUCACCACGGUCACCGACUAUACCUAAAAACUCAUAAUGCACCAAAAACAUUGACUGUUUCCUCAAGAUCACAAUCACCAAAGUAUAUUCAACCACAGUUGCCUAACUAAGAAACUGUUGUGAGAUUAAUCAAAUAUAUGUUUAUCCACCAAUCUAAUAAUCACCACGGUCACCUACUAGACCUAAAAUCUCAUAUCCACCGAAAAAAUCUUUGACUAUCUCAAGAUCACAAUCAUCAAAGUAUAUUCAACCAAAAUCUCAAAAUUCACCAUGAAAUUCGAUUCAAGAUCACAAUCACCUAACUAAAUAGAAAUUGUUCCAAGAUUAAUUAAAAAUGUGUUUAUCCACCAACAUAAUAAUCACAUGCUCACUUACUAAACAUAAAAUCUCAUAACAUCCUUGACUAUCUCCUCAAUAUCACAAUCACCAAACUAAAACCACAUAAAAAUCUUUCUUAGGUGUUGCUAAUGAUUUUCCUCCGAGGGGGAAUAGACAAAGAGGUCAUCAAUGAUGACGAGAAACUUGUCGAAGAACUCACAAACAUGUUAUUCAUGAUGUUCAUCAAAUAGCUAGGCGGGCAAGGAUUAG